UAGCUAGGUUUCAUUUGACGUAGACGUGACGUCGACGUAAAGCGCGAAAUUUGACUGGCGGUCGGAAGUGAAAAAGAUAAGCGCAAAAUCACAGACAGACAGUACGCAAAAUGCCUAUGUCCCGUUGUGUUUACGGAUGCUCCAGUAGGUCGACCAGAGAAACCGAUAAACGGUAUUUUAGGGUACCAAAAAUAGCCCAACGAAGAGGAGAAAAAUGGAAAAUUCUAACCGAAAAACGUAGGAAAAAAUGGAUUUUAAAUUUACGUUUACAGUCGGGAGGAGCAGAGUCUGCCAAUGCCCGUGUCUGCAGCGACCACUUCGUCAGAGGCUGCCCAAGUGCUUUGGAUGACGAAGAGUGAAUGAGCUGCAAUCACUUCUCCAUCCUCCUUUGCAAUUACCCAAGUCUUCAGAGGUGUCUCGUUAGACCUCUGGGAAUGGUUUACCUUGAAACAAACAACUGUCACUCUAACGAAGUCCUAAGGAUGUGGCAUGUUUGUUGACGUUAAAGCCGCUACCGCUAACUGUUAGCGUGUUUAAGAUAAAGCAAUAUAAGAACAAACACUCACCCUUGCAAACACCAAACUGUAUCCAUCACGGAGACGUUUUGUUCCAAGGUUGUGGACCCACCCGCUGACAAAAAAAUUGUACGCCUCCAGACUCUUGAAAGCUUUCAUUUGCUGCCUAGUGUAGUAAGAAGUCUGGAGGACCAAGUAGUUGGUGAUAUCCACAGCCUCGAUAGUAGGCAAAUCCUUUACUUCUGUGGUGUAUUCGGACAUUUUCAAAGAAUACGGAUCACGUCCGAUAUAUUUUUUAACUAUCUGUUUAUAUCUCUCCCGAGAAACGGGGU